CAAAGGAGCAAUCCGCUGAAAGAUGGACUCGCGUCCGAUUAGCUAGUUGGCGGGGUAAAGGCCCACCAAGGCGACGAUCGGUAGCCGGACUGAGAGGUUGAACGGCCACAUUGGGACUGAGACACGGCCCAGACUCCUACGGGAGGCAGCAGUGGGGGAUAUUGCACAAUGGGGGAAACCCUGAUGCAGCAACGCCGCGUGAGUGACGAAGGUCUUCGGAUUGUAAAACUCUGUUCUUGGUGAAGAUAAUGACGGUAGCCAAGGAGAAAGCUCCGGCUAACUACGUGCCAGCAGCCGCGGUAAUACGUAGGGAGCGAGCGUUGUCCGGAAUUACUGGGUGUAAAGGGUGCGUAGGCGGCCUUGCAAGUCAGGCGUGAAAACCAUGGGCUCAACCCGUGGACUGCGUUUGAAACUGUGAGGCUUGAGUGAAGUAGAGGUAGGCGGAAUUCCCGGUGUAGCGGUGAAAUGCGUAGAGAUCGGGAGGAACACCAGUGGCGAAGGCGGCCUACUGGGCUUUAACUGACGCUGAGGCACGAAAGCAUGGGUAGCAAACAGGAUUAGAUACCCUGGUAGUCCAUGCCGUAAACGAUGAUUACUAGGUGUGGGGGGUCUGACCCCCUCCGUGCC
rnacentral:rRNA from 1 species